rnacentral:lncRNA from 1 species
UUGAAUGUAAAUUGUUGUGUGGAUAAAAUCAGUAUUCAAACCUUCCUUAUAACCAAUAUUUAUCAAUAACAUGGUAAAUUCACUUAAGUAGACAUUAAAAUAAAUUAAAAAAUAAUUUACUAUAUAAUUUGCCUCAAAUUUUAUUUUGUUUCAAAACUAAAAUGUAUCAUGUACACAUUUAUUUAUUUUAUUUUAUGUAUUAUACACAUUAUCUUAUUUGUAUAUGAUACAAAUUAGUGUAAUUUGGUAAAAACAACAAUGGCUUGAUUUAAGAUUUACUUAAGUUGAUUUUAUAUUCCCUCAAACACAUAAUCGAAACACACUUUAAAUACUAUUUUAAACUACAGGCGGUUAAUACAACAACGAAUUCAAGCAAUAAGCAUCAAAGUUUGUAAAGAAGAAAUCGAGUUUCAUGUUGUAUUUGUCAAAAACUCAUAAACACACACAAACAAAAUAAAAUAAAAUAAAAACGAAUCACAUCUGAUGAUUACAUCAAAGAAUUCUGAAACACCUUCAAAGAUGAAUAAACAAAUCAAUAAACUAGUAAAUAAAUAAAUUUCACAUGUAGAAUAAAACACACAUGCAGCUUUUUGCUAAGCAGUGAUCGUGCUGCGAAUGCCGAUGCGGAUUCAAGUUCAUGGCGGCUGGAAUCUUGCGUGCGGUGAAUCGAGAAGCGCGGUUAUCAAAUUCAGCAUUUCGAUUUCUGUAACAAUUGUUUUUUUGUUAAAUUUUUACGAUAAUUUGAGCUCUCGAUCUGGAUUUGGGUCUCCGAUUGCUUCCUGCUGUGAUGCUCUUUGUCCAUAUUGCUUAAUUCCAAGCGACAUUGCGAGGUUUUUCAUCAACUUUGGUGAAGGAGACGUGAUGCAGCUUUGUGUUGAGGAGUGCGGUUUAGUUUUACUUGGUCGUCGGACUUCGGUUUGUACAGUCGCGGAUUGAUUGAUUGAUUACUGAGGCUGAGGCGCUGGAUUUGAUCAACGAGAGGGCACACGCACUCUAACAUGUGGUUUUUGAAAUCCGACCGCCAACGAAGGCUGACUCUCUUCUAACACUUUUGAAAUCAAACCUCGUGACGGUUACAACUAUGUUUCUGAAUUUCUCUGGUUUUUCGGUAGUUUUUUAAGUUCAAUUAACUGCAUGCACGAAUCAUCCUCUUUAAAUUUCUAUUUUUCUAUUAGUUGCAUGCGAGUUUUAUUCCCGGAUUAUUCAAUUCAAAAGUUUAUUCUCAUGAAAACUCCUGAACAUUCUUUUAAAAUAUUACGAGUCGUCUCCGACGAUUCGAAACACCUUUGCUCUCAACGCCGGCUACCUUAUUGUGGAGCAAAGCAUGUUUUACUUGUAGUCUUCGUUUUUGUGAGUUUUGUUUUGUUUGUUAGUUAGUUUGUUUAUUUGUUUGUUUAUUUGUUUGUUGCCUUUGUUUUAUUUUAGGGUUUGGAGGGAACUCCGUUGAAUUGAAGAUAAUUUGUAAGCUUGAUUAUAGUCCUUUGGUGUCUGUGUGUGUGUGUGUGAGAUUAGUUUUGCAGUUCUGUGUAUCUGUCGAACUUGUUAAUUAGUAAUUUUGUUUUGUUUACGGUUUUCUGUUUUUGCCAUUGCAGGUCAAAUUAAUAAUCUUCUGAACUAAUUUCUAACACUUAAAUUAUUUUGAAGUGAACUGUGAUUCUCUUUGUGAACAAAUUUUGUUGAAAAUGUGUUAUAAACCCUUUUAAAUCAAAAGACCAUUUGAAUCUAUGAACAGUUCGUCUUAAAAUGAUAUUAACAUUAAUAAUAAAGGUCUUAACAUAGCCUUGAUUAUUGUUUAAUAAUAUGAUUUUUUAAAAAAUAAAAAUAAAUAAAUUCUAGGCGUACAUGCAGAUAUACAUAUGUGUGUGUACUUUGUUUAAAACUUGAUUUUGUGGAUUUGUUUGUUUUUGUUUUUGUUUUGUUUUGUUUGUUUUUGUUUUUGUUUUUUUUUUUUUUUUUGCAAAGUCCAUUAGAGUUUUAUGUGAUUUUUAUGUGAUUUUUUCUUUUAGGGUGUAUUUGUUUUAGUUUGUAAUUCAUGGUACUAAGCCAAGAACAUAUCAUUAUUUUACACACCAUGAUUACUUACCUCAGAAAUAUAUUAGAAUAUGUUUUUACUAAUAUUUAAUCAUGUUGGUAUUAUAUUUUAUUGACUAUUGAAAUGAAUUUUAAUUUCUUAUUUUGAAAAAAAAAAAAAAAAAAAAAAAAAAACAUAACAAAGUGAUUCACUAACUCUUUCCCAUGUAAUGGAUAUCAAAUGAAGAUGAUGUCAAACAGAAAUGUGAGCACUAAAAUUAUUUACAAUUCAACAAAUGCAACAACAAAAAUAUAACCACCUAUUCUUAUUAUCAUGAUUAUUAUUAUUAUUAUUAUUAUUAUUAAAUUAUUAAAUUAAAAGGUAGGUAAACAAUUUAGAAUGUGAGCUUAUGACUUUGUAUGAUCUUGUGGUGUGGAUUGGUAAGGUCUUGUGGUUGAUCAAGAGAUAAAAUAUUGGUCUAUUUUUUAGGGUUUUCUAAAAGAAGAUUGCAAAGGUGAUAUUCGAAAGUGAAGGGAAACUCAUAGCCAUCAAUCAAUCAAUUGCUAUCAAUCUUCAAUAUUAAAAAUGCUCAUCUUAUAUGCAUGAGGAAUAUAAAUGCAUAAGUAAUACACAUGACAAUUGGGUGUAUAGUGAGUUUCAUGCUCAUAGAAUUUGUAGGUAGAUAUUUACAUAGUAAAAAAAAAAAAAAAAAAAAGGAAAGAUAUUCUCACAAGGAAAAAACCAAAAAAAAAAAAAAAAAAAAAAAAAAAAAGUAGAUAGAGAAUCUACUAUUGAUCAAGUGUUUCAAUUUAUUGGACUACAAAUUUCUAGAUGUUGAUUUUGUUUUUGUAUAUACAUAAAUAUGUAUAUAGAGAUUGUUUUCUUUUUCCUUUUUUUUUCUUUUUCUAUCAUUUGUUUCUUCCAAAGACAUGUAUAAUUGAUGGAUGUGAGUACUGUUUAAAGAGUAUGAUCUUAUGAAAUGAUAUAUUAGUAAAUAAAUUAAUUCGAACACACUAAUUGAUGUGCAUUGUCAAUAUUGAAAAGAUGUUUUAUUUUUUGAAUUAUAUGAGUUUUAUUUUUUCUGACAAUUAUAGUCAGAAAUUAUUAUUAUAGAUUAUGUGUAUUCAUAAUAUUAAUGUAUAUUUUUGAAUUUGAAUUCUUUGAUUUGACCUAAUAUAAGUAAAUAUUCUUAUUUCAUGAAAGACCAAUUACUUAAGAUUGUUACACAAAACAGAAAUAAUCGCUGGUGUAAACUUCAUUUAGAAGGUAAAAAUUAAUUUUUGAAGGCUAAAAACACAAAUAGUUAAAAUAUUCCAUAUUCUUUGAAAAAAAAAAACUAUUCUUACAAUAUAAAAAUAUAUUUUCAAAUUAAGUACUUAGACGUAUUUUAAAAUAUCACUCCCGGAAACAAUUGAUAGACACUUUUGAGAAAUUUCAAAAUCAUUAGAUUCCCAACAACAAAAAAAGAAAAGCAAAAAUUGAAACAAAACAAAUCCAAUAAAAUUACAACAAUUUUGGAAAUUUUGAAUUGAAAAAAUAAAAACAUUUCAUGAAACAAAAACAAUAGAUUGACCUAAAUACAAGAGUGCAAUGGAUUGUGUCACUGUCAAAACUGUUCAAUAAAUCACUCUCUUUCAUUCUUUGUGUCAAUGUUUAUUUUGCACCCACUGUUCAUUAUGGGCCUUGAAGAUAACUAAUAUAUGGUAAUCACAUGGCCAUUGUUCAUUAUAAAAACGCACAUUAAGAUUGUACUUGUCAGGAUUAAAUAUUUUAGGAAAUAGAAUAAUAUAUAUGUAUAUAUAUAUAUAUAUAUAUAUAUUUAAAUAAAUUUAACAAAAAAGACGUGAUUUUUUCACACACUGAGUAUCAAAUAUUUUUUUUUCUUCUUUUUCUUGGCAAUAUUUUGAAUGAGUGAAAGUUUUGGAUUUUGAAAUUAGUAUACAUUGUUUUUUUAGGUUAUUUGUAUCAAUUAUUGACGUACAUCCUACAAUCAUUUUGAAACAAAGACACUGCCAAAGGAUAUGAUUGGCUAUAAAAUAAAAACUUUUCGGAAUAUAAAACAAAACCUCAAAACCCCAAAACCCCAAAAAUCACACAUUUUUUUAUUUAAUUUAAUUUUUUUUUCUAGGUUUAAAAUGAUCAAACAAUCUAUUUUCAAGCAAGACAAAAUGAGCAUCUUAAUCAAAGCAAGCAUCUUUAACGAUGAUUUUUGUAUCUCUAAAUUUGAUAAGGAAGCUAUUAAUUGCAAAUUUAUAAGGGUAGUGUUAGGUGAUCAUGUUUACUUCUAACAAACUACUCCACCAAUAAAAGUUAUGACCAUAAAAUACAUUUUUUAGAGAAUUUAAUACAAACACUUUCAAACAUUUAUUAGUUCAUUAUUUCUUAGAUAUUAAUUGGUGGGUAGCCUCGUUUUUAAAUAUUUUUUACUUGAUUCAAAAGGCUUGUUUUGAGUUGAAUUCAUAAAAUCUUCACAAUAUAUAUAUAUAUAUAUAUAUAUAUAUAUGUACAGUUUUUCUAUAUGACAACACCUGCGAUAUUUAAUGCUAACUUUGAACCACAUUUCUAAAAAAAAUCUAAAACAUUAUUUUUAUAAUUUUAUUUUAUUUUAAUUUGGUACGGUCCCAUGAUUUUUGCUAAACAAAAUCGAACAAUUCCAACAAACAAAAUGAACGAGAUAUUAUUAUUUUAUUAUACAUACAUACAUACAUACAUACAUAUAAAUAUUCAUUUUAUACAAUUUCUUCAUUGUGGCAGUGUACAUGAUUGAAUGGUUUUCAAAAAAGUAGAUAAAAAAAAUUGGGCACCCCACCAUGUGUACCAUGGGAAGAGGCCAUCAAUUCAUUGAUUGUAUAUUCCUUAAAAACUAUGUCUUUUUUUUCUUUUACAAACUUCAUCAUAUAUUUCUUAGAAAACACAUUCAACUAUAAAUAUGAUCAUAACUUACUUGAAACAUCUUAUGAGAAUAAUAUAUAAAUAAAUAUAUAUAUUAUUUUAUUAUUUUCAACAUAUACAUUUCCAACGAAGAAGCCCACUGGACACGUUCUCUCCUAUGGCCGUGCCCAGGCAACCACGGAAAAGACCCACGGAUACAGGACAUGAACGGAGAUAGAACGCACUAGCGGAAGUAGGGUAAGCCCGUCCCCCGUCCCCCGUCCCCAUCCCCUCCCCGCCCCGUAGCCGUUGCCCCGCCUUCUUCACCCGUUCGUUCGUUCGUUCGUCCGCCUGCCGCGACGCCGACAGGCGCGCCCUCGCGGCGAGGGUAAGUGGCAUUUUGAAUUUUACUCUGCCGCGGCUUUGUUUUCACGGCACUCGCGACGAAUUUAGCGACGAAGAAGCAAGCAAAGAGACAGACAGAGAUAGAGAGCCCGAUUGAGUGAGCCCGAGAGUCAGAGAUAGAGAGCCUGAGAGAGCUGAGAGAGAGAUAGGGAGAUAGAGAGACUGAGAUCGAGGUUGAGUGAUAUUGAAUGAUGAAGGGGCCGAGGGGGCGAAUGAUUUUGGUGAAAGCAGUAGCAACGCGGGGCGAUGGACACGUGAGAGCGUGCGCUUGAGCUCCGCUCGCCGAGUGAGGAAGGAGAUGUAUCAGCAGCUGUAUCACUUGCGGCUGAUUCGGGGGUGAAGAGCAAGCCCGCGAUGGCGUCACCACGUAAUGAUGUUGCCACCUUCAAGGAGAUCCGGUAUCGACGCUGCUGCUGCUGCUGCAUUUUGUGAUAGGCACUUGGGAUUGUGAGCUUUGGUUGUGUCGUGGUUGGUAUGGAUUAGGGUUGGGGAGUAGCUAGUGAUUAGCUGGUGGUUUGAUUUUGGUUGUGUGCCAGGGAUAUAUACGGGUUCGCCGUUCGGCAACAGCAUUUGGAGCGGUAUCGUGAGUAUGCGAGUAUUUACAAGGUAUUGAUGGACGGGGGGGGGGGUGUGUGUGUGUGUUUGUGUGUGUAUUUUGGUUUUGAUGUUUUGAAACGUUUUUUGUGGUGCGAUUUGUUAGGGUGAUUGUGUCGCUUGAUUGUUUUUGAGUUGUUGUUGUACGGGUUUGUAAGGCGUGUGGUGGACAAUUGGCUGCGUAGAAAGAAGAAGUGGAGCGAUCGGACCGAUGGGAGCAGUUUUUGUGUUCGCUGAAAAAGGAGGAAGUGGAAAAUGGUGAAGCCGAGCCGUCGGAGGGUUGUGUCGUUAAUGGAUUGUGUAGAGGUGCGGUUGGGAUUGAUGGUAAUUUGGAUGGGAAUUUGCGAAGGUUCGGCUCGCACAGGAGUUCCUUGGCGGCUCUAGAACAGGAGUUGAAGAACCUUAGGAAGAGGAAGGCAAGUAGGCUAAACACGGACGGUAGCAUUGCCUUGGAUUCGGAAGGAAAUGAGAGCGGAGUAAAUGGCAAUGGCAAAAUUGUGGGUGCUGGAGGUGGUCCCAGAGUUGAAGAAGAUGAGGAUUCUGAUGACGAGUUUUAUGACGUUGAAAGGACAGAGGUUGUGUCUGACGCAGGAGACCAGAGUACUAGUGAUGUGCUGGAACCGGCUCCUUGGGUUGAAGAGCUUAAAGUACUUGUUAGUGGUGGUGUCCCUGUGGCGCUGAGGGGAGAGGUAUGUCCUGUCAGCCGGUGGAGUUCACUGCACUGUGUUGCUCCAGUGAUGAGUUUAUUUGAAUACCAGUUCUAGCUUGUUGCUAGAAUGUACUCUUUAGUUUUACAGACGUCUGGCUCUUUCAUAGGACGAGGUGAAAGGUAUCUAAGAAUAUCUUGGGAAUUCAGUUAUGGCAGGUGUUCACGGGUGCAAAGGAUCGGCAUGUAAAUGGUUACUAUCAGGAACUCCUCGCCCGUGAAGUUGAUCACGUCAGUAGUUGCGAUGGUUCAGUUGAAAAUAACCUCGUGACAGAGAAACCUCGCGCUGUUGAAAAGUGGACUGCUCAAAUCGAGAAGGUGAAUGAAAUGGAAAAUUCAAACUUUUCACUUGCAUUUUUUUUUAAAUGUUUUUAAUGUUUUUAAUGUUUUUAAUUUUAUUUUUAAAAUUAAAUUAUUAUUUUUUUUCCUUCUCAGACUUAGUCUUGGCUAAAGGGUCCUUGUAGCUGUCAAAUAAUCAGCUGGAGUAACCUAAUUAAGUUGGCGUUCUUUGAUAUCAGGAUCUACCCAGGACUUUCCCUGGUCAUCCUGCUCUUGACAAGGAAGGUUUAAACGCUCUGAGGCGCAUGCUCACGGCAUAUGCCCGCCACAAUCCUUCUGUUGGAUACUGUCAGGUGCGGGUUCUUCUUUCUAGCGUGGUGAUCAUGUGGUGCGUAAGUCUGGCUCGUGCAAGUCCGAUAUCUAUAUACAAAUGCGCUGAAUGUGGACAGUCUUAAUCACCUGAUCGUUGCACAUUUUUGCCUUAACAUGGUUUAGGCCCUAAACCAGCAUUUUGAAAUGCCUUGAUCUGCAUGCAAAUUACUGAGGAGCUCCUUUUUGUUUUUUGAUGCAGGCAAUGAAUUUUGUUGCUGCACUUCUGUUACUCUUAAUGCCUGAAGAAAAUGCAUUCUGGUACGUUCCUGCGAUUCAAAGAUGGUUGUAUUAGUUAACCUAAUUUAUUAGUUGAUUUUAGACAGGCUCAGAUAAGAGCUUGCACUUGUGAAUUCCGUGGUAUAACAUUGCUGCUGGCUUUAGCAUGCGGUAUUAAGUGUAGCUAAUUACACAGAACUAGCACACUUGUGGGUUCCGGGCCCUGUUUCUAGAUACACUUACAAACGUGACGAAAACUGUCGCAAUGAAUUCUGUAUCAUAACCUUACAUGGGAAUUCUAACAAUUAAGUGAUGAUAUUUUCACAAGCAUUGAUGUUUUCGUGUUUUUUUUACAGGACGUUAACUGCAAUUAUCGACGAUUACUUUGAGGGCUACUAUUCAGAAAGAAUGGUGGAAGCACAGGUUGGCAACGAAUGACCUGAUAUUUUUUUCUCCUCAUUUCUAUUCCAAUCCUUCAUCUUCCUAUGGAAAUGGGUUUGCGAUGCUUCUGUUUAGCUAUUUCGAAGUUCUUAUCCUGUUUUUAAUUGUUAUUUUGUUGAUACUAGACACUGGAUUUUGCAAACCUCUUGAUUUUUGUCCAAGUUCUUUUGUGUCUACUCCGUGCUUACUUACUCGGUCCCUGAGCAGGUAGACCUACUUGUAUUUGAGCAGCUGGUUCGCGAACGGUUCCCCAGAUUAGGUGAGUCGUAUCAUACUCUUGAUUUUUUACCUACUUGAUUUCGUUUAGUAUAGGAUAUAAUAGGAAUUCUCAGAAAAAUUGCUAAUGUAUUUGUGUCAUUGCAGCAACUCAUCUGGAGAGCCUUGGAGUGCAGGUAGCAUGGGUUAGUGGCCCUUGGUUCCUUUCCAUCUUUGUGAACGUCGUACCAUGGGAGACUGGUAUGUCAUUUUUAUGAUAUCAUAUUUUUUGUAAUUUAAAGCUUUAGUUUUUGGAGGCAAUAUUGACUCGUCGACAAUACAGAGGAGGAGAAUCUUGCUUUUUCUUUUUUCUUUUUUCUUUUUUGUUUUGUUAAAUAGGAAUGUCAAGGCCGUCUAACCUCCAUCAGAACCUUCAAUAUUUAAUGCUGGAAUAUAGAUGUAGCAUCAAACGGUUGCGCAAGGCCUACUAUAAUCUGCAUUUUUCUGAUGUACGUCCUACUAGGAAUUCUGAAUUGACUCUGGAAACCAAUCUGGCUUGCAGUUCUGAGGGUAUGGGAUGUCCUCUUGUACGAAGGAAACCGUAGCAUGCUGUUCAGGACUGGUCUGGCUCUCAUUGAAAUUCAUGGUAAGAUAAACGCGCUGUUAAUCUGUAAGAUUGGGUAAAAGUUUGUGCUUGUCACUUUGCUGUAUCCUACGGUUUUUUCCCUCUCUUUUGAAAAGAGUUUUGUGAAGUGGUAAAGUAGUACUGACCAGGGACUUUAUUUGGUAUUACCAAAAGCCGGAGCAUUGUUGCAACAACGCGACACUGGUGAUGCAGUAGCAACGCUUCAGUCAAUGGGUGAGACCACGUUCGACAGCAGCGAGCUUGUCUUGUUGGCAUGCCUGGGGUUUCAAGAAUUCAAUGAGAAACUUCUGCAGGAACUUCGCACCAAACACAGACCUGUUGUGCUUGCUGCGCUUGAUGAAAGGUCGAUGGAGCUUAACCUUUGGCGCUCUGCAAAUGGCAUCGGAUCUAAGCUAGACAAAUUAAGGACCUCCUUUGAUCGCGCAAUAAUUGCCAACAGCCCUGGUGGGACAAAAGCCUAUCUAGAUCUUGAAGAUGGGAAUGAUACUGACAACGACGGCACUGACCUUCAGGAACAAGUAUGGUCGAAUGUCUAGUUGAAGUUAUUGAGAAAACGGGUCGGUUGGCCAGAAAUGGUUUAACAGAAAUGGGGAUUUUUUUUUUUUUUUUUUUUUUUUUUUUUUUUUUUUUUUUAUUGUCAAUGCCAUAUGAAUCUUUUAACUAUUGCUGCGGCACCCUUUGUACUGUUGAUUCUUUAAACCCAAAAGUCUUGACCUUGUUACUGUCGUUCACACUGUUGGGUUUUUGAUGCUUAAAAGCUCAUGUAGGAAAGAUCCGCUUACAGGGCACACGUUUUGACGUGCCUCCACUUUAUUCACAUGCUUCAACGAACUGGUUACAGUGAGCAUGUGGUGCUUUUUCUAAUUAAGUUGAACUUGCGUUUUCAAUUCAAUUAUCAGGUGACCUGGCUGAAGACGGAGCUUUGUCGUGCCCUUGAGCUUGCAAAAGCAUCAGCUCAAAGGUAAUUGUUUUCGUGUUAUAUCUGUAUCAAGAGCAUUCUUUGACAAGUUCAAGAUCUGGAGCACAGAAGCUGUGUUUACAAGUGGAUGUUGCUUGCAGAGCCGAUCAGUUGGAAACGGCUCUGAUGGAGAUGGUGAAAGGGGACAACCGACGUUUGCUUUCUGCUCAAGUAUGAUAAACUACUCAAAUUUUGUCAUCCGUUUGAAAGUUCGUUUACGAUUUUGGAUUCAUAUUAACGUUUAUAAACUCGUCGAAUAAAGUUUGGCAUUUUUAUGUCCGAAACCUAAGAUAUAGUUCUCCAGUUGAAGCAUUUCUAGUACGCUCGGUGGGUGCUUCUAGAAGUUGAUACUAAUGGGGUUUAUGUUUUAGGUGGAGAGUUUAGAGGCCGAGGUUGACCAGUUGAAAAAGGGAUUAGCCGAGAAGCAAGAACAAGAGGCAGCCAUGGUUCAGGUUAAUCUCUUCUCGCCACGUUCAGGGUUAUUUGUUCAAAUGCCAUUUUUUUCUGCAGGAACUGGAACUUAUUACUGGGAAGGUUAUUUUGGCAUUUGUAGGUGUUGUUGCGAAUGGAGCAAGAGCAACACGUUGCAGAGGACGCCCGCCGAUUUGCGGAGCAGGAGGCUGAGACGCACCGGCGUACUGCUGAAGAAGCGGAGGUAUUUUAUUGUGGACUUCAAACCUUGUUAUGAUGUUUAUUUUGUGCGACUCUUCGAAAUUUUAUAUUGAAUAAAUUGAUUGUGACGUCCGUUGGAAGCUCCUCUUACAGUCACUAAAUUUGUAUCUUUCGUAUUUGAUUUUUUAUUGUAACUCACUUCCGCGAUGUCGUUUUUAACAUCAUAUUGUCUCUUGUGCCGUGUAGAAAACAGCUGCCGAGGCGGUAGCUGCUCUGUCAGCUAUGGAAAAGAGAGCUAUUAUGGCAGAAAGCAUGCUAGAGGCAACUGUCAACUUUCAAACUGGUGGUCCACAAAAUUUCAGACGCAACUCCGAUGAUAGUGCAUCUAGGGGCAUGUAUCGCUCUCAUAGCUCUCCUGCGUCCAAGUAAUUCUCUCUACUCAUUUCAGACUGCUGUCUUUACUGAUGAGGACACCUGGAUUAUGGCGGUUAAAUGAAUUUAUUUCUUUUACGCAACCCUACUAAGUUAUUUCAGUACCUUCUUGCUCUCUAAGUUACACCUGGUCAGUAUAAGUCAGCUGAUCUAGAAUACGUUAUCUUUGGGCCUUGGGGAUAGAGAUUCUGAUUCCGUUUGGGAAAGAAGAAACAGCACGGGCAAGAUGGAAGGGGCAGAAGACACUCCCAAUAACACUGCUAGUAAGCCAGGUCUCUUUGGCCGUCCGUUCUCAUUAAGCUGGCGGGACAAAAGCAAGGUAUUAAUUUUGUGUGUGCUUCGACCUCGUUUUCCUUCAAGAUGUUGAUUUGCACAUGUCUGAUUUAUUUCCUUCGCUGUAUGUGCUUGCUUUAGGAAUUUAUGAUUUUUUCUUGUUAAUCAUGCAGCUUAGUGUGGAGGUGAAGGCGAAUGAGUCGGACAGAAUGCUCGACCGAGUCCCAUUUUCUGCACCCUCGAGCUUAGGCACUGAGCAUAUCCACACCAAACCAAACGACAGUUAAAAUCAAUAUAGAUAGAUAUAUAUAUAUAUAUAUAUAUAUAUAUAUAUAUAUAUACACAAUCAGUUAGACUGAGGAAUCAGGUAAUUUUGUUAAGGAAGAUCAUUUUUGAUCGGUCAUUUUCGUUCCUAGUAUGAAUUGUUGGUUUGGAAAAUCUCCAGCCUCAACUUCGUGUAGUUGAGUCUAUUCCAACUUCCUGGAGCUAAGCAGUGGUUUGUGGCUUCCUUUUUGAAGAUAUUUUCAUGGUCAUUUUGCACAUUUCGGCUCACUUGAAGUGGGUAUGCGACAUAAUCAAAUCAGCAUGUUGCUGAAAUUUGUGUAAUCGCUUCACACCAUUUAUCACUUUCAAUAUAUCGAGUUCCUUCUUAAAAUCUUUGAAAUACUAUAAGUUAAUAAAGCACAAUGCUUAAUGUGCGACCCAGGUCAUAUGAUCUUAAUCUUCUCCUUUUCUUUCAAUGUAGUGGAAUGAUUUGGCUUGGUUGCAAGGUGAUUGAUGGUGAUUUGUUCAAAAGACGUGGUGGUGAUGGUGGUGACUAGUUUUACAGAGGUCGUUUCUCUGUAUCCUAAAUGACUAGCCGUGAAAAUAUUUAUUCGAUCAGUCAUAACCAGAUACGAAGUAGUUAUUUUUUUUCUGAUAAAGGUAUGUCGCUAAUGUUUCUUAAAACAUGUAUUCCUACCUAGAAGAUGUACUGAGUGUAAAUUUUAUGUUGACCGUUUAGAUAUUCAGUUAGCUUCGGUAAACUUAAUUACUUUAAAUCAUCAUAGGAUAUGCGUUUCAUAUUUUGGCUUAUUAUAUUUCUAUAGUUAAACAGAAAUCUUCUAUUGGAUUCAAUUUUGUUUGAGAUAUGACCUGCAUUAUGAAAAGUUGGUUUCUUUCUACUUUCCCUCUCGAUUGCAGCAAUCAAAAAUAUGUUGUAAUUAAGUGUAUUAUUAUGUGGAAAAUGUUAUUUAAUUUAAAAUCGCAGAAAAAGUCUUCCUUGAAUAUCUAACAUUUUAAACAUAUCCCCAAUAAGCACUAAUCUGGAAACGUAUUUCUGGUCCGGUCUGUUUCAUACUCUCACCAGUUAAUGUGUAAAACUUUUACGUUGGACUUCAUAGACACCUUUUCUUGCACGAUGAAGUAUGUUUGAAUGAUUAAAUUCAGAUGAUAUAUAUAAUAUAUCUUAUAUCUUUUUAAAACGUUAAAAGAAAUUCACAUUGUUUAGAAGGCAUAGACUUGGACUUGUCAACUUCUGUGAUAAGUGAAAACAUGAAGAAUAAACGCUUGUAUAAGUUAAUUCAAUCUUCAGCCGGCACCUUAUCAAAAAUAUGUUUAAGGUAAUUUUCUAUUAUUUAGGUAACAUGGGUAAUAUAUAUAUAUAUAUAUAUAUAUAUAUAUAUGUUUUUAAAAUUCAAUUGAAAUCGCUUCUAGACAACUUGAACAUUAGUUUGUCCCAAUAUUUGGUACCAAUAAACUUAAAAAAUAGGCAAUAAAAGCUGUCUUGAAUUUAAGAAGCUCAUGUCAAAUGCAAAAAUAAAAGUUAAUUGAUUAACCCUGUUGGUACAGAAGACAUUACUCAUUCCUCAACUAAGUCUAGCCUCGUCUCUUUGUUUAUGUUCGCUAUUUAUUUUCCCAUGAUUGAAUCUUGAACGGCCAGCAUGGGCUUCAAUGUUAUCUUGAUAAUCACGAGUGGUGAAGAAACAAUUUCACCUAAAGUAAUGAUAUCAAGCACAAUGCACAUACUACUAAGUAAACCUAGAAUAUAGGUGGAAGUAAAUACGUUCUUUUUAACAAAUUUGGAAACGAAUUAUUAACAUUCAAAUGAAAUAAUGGCAUCCAAUAAUUCAUGUAAUUGAAACAGAGUAUACUAAAUUCUUGAACAUGUACCAUACUGCCACGUAGCAUGAAUUGAAAUAAGAUUAAGUGCUAAAUUAAGCAGAACUAACUGAAAUAACUUAAUUUUUUCCCACGUGACGAAGUGACCAAGUAUUUCACGAAUCUUCUGAAAAAACCUUAAGAUGAGCGUCAUGACCACAAUCAUACAAGCGACGGGUUCUGUUGAGCAAGGCUUCCCAGUUGACCACAAAAUGGGAAAAAAGAAAAAAACAAACAAACAGAAAAUGAAACAAUAUUUGUCAGGCAUAUAUACUAGGAACACUAAAUAAGGCAAACUGUUUUAGAAUUCCCUGAGGAUAUACAAUAUGUCCAGAUCACCAGUCUCGCUUCAGAGGAUGAUCUGGUACCAUUACUGGUGAAACUUACAUUGCUCCUGAGUACAACCUACUAAAUUCCUAUCAUAAUUUUGAGACAGGAUUUUUAAAACCCGACUUAUUGUUAGUAAUAUAAGAUACAACGACAGUAAUGUCAUCCAUUUUGCCUCCAUAGAACCUAAACCCAGCCUCUUGAGCAGCAGUCGAGAAAGGAGUUUGCCUGUUCCGAUCCUCGGCUCGCUCCCUUGCAAGAGCAACAAUCUUUUCGGCCGUAACCUGGGGAUCUAACCCAGCACGUGUAGAAUGGAUAACAACUCCCACCAACUCAUUAUCGUACAAAUUGUCAAACAGCCCAUCCGUACCUGCAACAAGUACAUCCCCUGCGGCAACUUGCAAAGAGAAUACCUGCAGAAGCCAAUCGUUAAUGUUGACGACAAAUCAAACCUUCAUCCUAAUCAUGAUCACAACCACAAUACACAAAGACAGAGAUAAAACACCCUGUCCAACUACCUUUCCAACAUGCACCGUCACAGAUUAAGAAGAGCUUUUGCACAAACAAAAGAAACUAUUUACCAUGAAGAAGACCUAACACAGAAAGGGCAUCGGUGAACAAAUAAACCAAUGUAUUACAAGUAAAUUAUCAAGCAUAGUUACCUCAGCAGCACUAGGAGGAUCACUGCCACCACUUUCCAAUUGAAAAGGGAUAUUAAAUUGGUGCUGUUGAACUGGAGACUUGAAAACGGUUCGACCAUUUCUCAUCAACAUAAAUCCACUAUCUCCAAGAUUAGCAGCUUGCAACCCCUGCGAACAUAACGGGCAGAAAUUAACGAUUGACUACGAAUAAACUAUCUUUGAAUCAUUCGAAACAACACAAACUAUCUGUAUCUCAUGUUAGAUCCCAAGAGCAUAUUCUAAGCAAUAUUAAGUUCAUUACCAUCAGUUCUCAAAAAAUCACCAAAAGCGAUACUGCCACGGCUCUUACAGAAGUAGGGAAAUGUCGACAACUAAGACACAUACAUAAAACAGUAAUGACACGUGAGUGUUUCACAAACAAAUCGGUAUCAAAUGCUUCACAACAAACGAACAAUCAGCGUAAAAUGUAAGACUUACGUAAUCAGAGAGAGCAAGAAUACAUGCCGUGGAUGAACCAGGGCAUUUCGUCCUUGCAUGAGCCCGAAACAUGACGCGAGCUGGAUCUAUGUACCCAUGCGGCUCCUGAGCAACCGCUAUCCUUGACUGUAACAUAAGCUCCCUGGCAUAAUCACCAGCGUCAACUCCAACAUCAGCCCAACCUCCAACUCCGUCUGCUACCCCCACUACCUGUUCCUCCGAACAUAUAAAGUACGCAUCUUCUCCUCCAGUUUUCACUUUCUUUGGAUGUGGUAGACAGCACGCACCAGAAAGUAACCGGAGACUUCGGUUCUGAACUCCUUCGCUGCAGGACAACACUGAAAAUGUGAGAACCAAAGAAAAAGUAGGAGGAAAGGAGAAAGAAGCGUGUCGAUUAUUCGCAAUGACCGUCCGGGACAAAGCAUGCGCGAUUUAUCCAUACAAAAAAUUCCUUAAAGAACAAGAAAAUACGCGCCUACAGUAAUAUCCUCUGUAAACAGUGUGUCAGAACUGUUUAACAGCAAGUGGAAACCGUUCAAGAAGUUCGGUGUAUAAAUACCUUGCCGAGGCCGAUGCAAAGUACAAAAAAUAUCAUCAACAAAGAGUAGAUAUCUUCCAGGUAUACCUUCGAAGAAUCGCAUUUUACGGGGCAAAACGGUAGCUAUUUUAAGCGGGAUUACUACGUAGAACAACUGGAAACAUUCACUUGAAGAAAAAUGUUCAAUGAAACAAGUGAAAGAAUAAGAAUAGGUUGCCCUUACUCGUCCAAAUUUCUUGGUUGGUCCUUGGUAUAAUCAAUUUCGUGGGGCCCAUCAACUACCGAACCAGGAGACUCAGUACUCGCCAAUCUCGGAUUAGACAUGGAUUUGACAUGUACAUGUUCUUCGACAAACAGAGACAUCCUAGGGUGGAAUAAAUGACGGGCAAUUGAGUGAUAAAACGACUUCCGGAAAGCCAAUGAAAUGUGUCUCGUGGAUUUGUCGAGGGGCGCACAGUGAAGAAGGGAGACAGUCCCAACAUCUACUUCCUGCAAAUCGGGGCCACCGUGUCCUUCAUCCAAUCCAUCAAAGCUCCGUGCAACCAGUGCACGGCUAUCUGGUGAAACAAUUUUUCUUAAACUGGGAAUAAAAGCUUCGUUCCCCACAGAUCCAGUCGUGUCUGUGGUAAUGCCUCCGUCGCACACUCUUUGCUCUUUCCAUACAUUCUGCGGUCCGGAGGAUAAUGAAGUUACGACCUGCUUAGGCACUUUCCUAUCUCUUUUCUGCGAAGGAACACCCCCAGAAAGUUGGCCAGUCAGCAAAUAUAGCCCCGUCUCCGAUAGCUCCUGUAGACUGCUGCAGCUGGCCUCUCUUGCGGUCUCGAGAGCGUUACAACUACUACUAUUCAACAAAGGUCCAUGGACUGAUGGAGUAGCAAACACGCGAGAGACGGCUUCAGAGGCCGUAAGAGCCUGUUGUUUGCUGGAAUCAAAACUCGCAGGAUUGUGAUCUGCUGAGGGUGUUCGGCUGCUCGAAAAGAACUUCGAGAAGAAGGAAGGAACAAAAGGGUGCCGAGAGGGUUGGUAGCCACCAGGAGUAGUAGAAGAGCCUGUCACCGACGGUUUAGUAUUUCGAGCACUGGGCGACCCUUUACCGAACAGGGGCUUGACUCGUCCUCCUUGAAACAGUUCUCCCUUGUAACCGGAAGUUGAUUUUAGACUGGCUUUCAGCUUCCAAAAAGUGUGCAGCGAUGGCAUUUUUGAGGCACCGAAGUGGAUGUAUACAACUCUAAGAGCUUAAAUCAUGAGAUCAAAUCUUGAAACAGCUGCCAUAAGGAACGAAACUUCCAUGCUCGUUCAAAAACCUACCAGAAUUAUUAUCGCAAUUAACUCUGCACAUCCCAAUUUCAAGAUUCAACCCCAAAGAAAACGGCCACGCUUUCCUUAAGACCUCCAUACCUCACAAGCAACACUACUUCCUACAAACGACAACGGAGAGAAACAGAGGAAAUUUUAAUUUAAUUUUAAUUUUAAAAAAAUAUACGUUUACAUACAUGUAUAUAGUAAAAAUGUCAGAAUGUUUAUCGGUUGUGACUGGUACGUUUGGUAGAUACCAGUCAACUCUUUGAACCCUAAAAAUUAAACUUCUCUCAGAUGAGCUAGGAACAUCAAUUCCUACACAGGGAAGAGGACGGUAUCCUACCUGUCCAAGCACAAACAGCCCCAACACCAACAAAAAGCUACAACAGAUUCAAAGUCCCCUGGAAACCACGCCACCCGCAUCUGACCUCGAUCGAACCUCGUGAAAUAACGCAAUCCAGCAGCACAACCUAAACAGCAGUCGGGGGAUAACACUGUACCUAACACGUCGUCUCCGCCCACACACAACGCCAGGCCUUCUUACAGACAGCGAAGCAGUGAACUCACCGGAAUCCUCGCAAUGAGAAACGCAUCACGCAGCCAAGACCAAGCAACACAAACAAACAAACACACACACAUAUACACACACAAAACCGAGCCAGUUCUAGACAAGCUUACAAAGAUCAACGGCACCUAUUAAUGAUGCAUUUUAGCCGACGCGUGACGGUGAGGAAUGAUGGAGCAACUGAAGCAAAAGCGCCAGCAGACGAUGGGUGGUGUCCGUGUCGCGACACAGACGACUGGUGGCUGAGAAUGGCGGAGGAGACUGACUAGCGGCUGCUGCUGCUACGAAGAACCUGGCUAUGGCGAUUUAGGGCUGGCUAGGCCUGUUUGUUUGUUUGUGUGUUUGUAGAGGAGGCCGAGGACGACGAGGACACAGGCGAAUGACGGUGAUAAUGCCAAGACUAUGCCCGCUGCCAACGCCAAUCCCCAUCCCAUUUUUCAUCCUUCUUAAUAUCCGUCCAUUUAUGUACAUUCAUCUGUUCAUUCCGCAUGUUUUCGUUCUUCAUUCAUCAUGACCGCCCUCCCCUCUGCCCCUGCGGAUGAAUGCUUCUUCGCCAAGGGAUGGAUCCUUUCCCACGGGGCGGUUCCGUCUCCCAUGACCGUGGACCCUCCCCCACCCACACUAAUUUCUCCGCUCCUUGCCUCGUGGUUUUUUCGGAGCAAAUUUGGCAUGUGGUUUAGUGAAGUUGUAGAGAUUCAUCUUUGAUUUCACUGUUAAUUCCAUUUUUUUGUGUUUCUUUAAACCUGGUAUCCGUGAGAUUUAACCUUGUGGUUUUGAGUAAAAAUAAAAAUAGUUGUUUGCAUAACAAUAUAUGCAUUUUGUUUUUAUUUUAUUUUAUUUAUUAGCUAAGAUGUUUUUUUUAUGCUAUUCAAAUAUGUUUGAUGGUUAAAGUGAUGUUAGCCAUGGUGUCCUCUUUUGAAUAAAAACACACACACACAUGUAUCUCUUAUAUAAAAUAAUUCUAAUAGAUAAACCAAAAGAGAGAAAAACCAUCUCUAAUUAGCUACAUGUCUUGUUGUUUUCAUCAAAAGUGAAGCAAUAACUCAACAUUUGAUCAAUCAAAGAUCAAAAUCUACAUAUUGUUGUUGUAGUUUGCUAAGAGUAGCACUACAAGAUUAUUAGGCAUAAAGCUCAGAAGCCCCCAAUCAUAAUUUUCAAUAAAUAUUUUUAUGGCCUAUGGCAUGUGUUUCAACUAGUAUAUAUAUAAGAAAAUGUUCAAUAGACCCAAGUUUUUACUAAAUCAAUCCACCCAUUGUAACCAUCAUGAAGUAAUAAUGAUUUUUGGAUUCAUUUCUCUAUUAUUAGAUUAGUGACCAAUAAAAACCAACCACAUUCAUCAUGAUUAUCAUAUUCUUCAUCAAAAGUGAUCUUUUCAGUAAAAGCAUGAAUUUAUUUAACAUUUCAUUGAAUAUAUAUAUACACAUGCACAUGAUGUAUAUCAAUGUGAUUUCAAGUGUUACCUCUUCAAAUUUUACACAAAAGUAUAAGUUUCAAUAUUUAAAAGUAUAAUGGAUAUUACUUUUAGCAAUGCCAAUAUUUGUACUGUUUCUAUUUAUGUCCAAAAUAAAGAAGUCAGUGUUCUAUGUUGUAAAAUUAUUUUUUAUUUUUUAUUUUUAUUUUUUUUUCAUUUUGUUUCAAUUUGGAUGAGAUCACAAUGCAUUAUGCCUGUAGAGCUGUGUUUUUCAUUGAACAAGUGUGGAAUACAUGAUUUUUUAUAAAUCAAUGAAUAAUAUUACUUGAUUUAUAUAGCAAUGUUAUUAUAGAAUAUUUCCUUUGGUAAAUAUUGUUCUUUUGUAGUGACAUUAAUGUGCUCAACCGAACUCAAUAAAACAACACAUCUUCUUCCAUAAAGUGAUACGUCAAGUUUGGUUUGAGGUGGUUGUACUGUUUCUCAUGAGAUGAAUUAGUUUAUUAGUAUUCAGUUGUUUUAAUACAGCAUUGCCACAGUACACGACAUUUUAUUUAUUUUUAUUUUAGAUUGACAAGAAGUUUCGAAAGCUUCAACGCUCUAACAUUAUAGUGUCCAAAACUCUGGACCACACAAGCAUUGGAACAUUUUGUUCUGUUCUAUUUUGUUUUGUUUCUCCCAUGGACACAUCUCAAACAAUUACUUUUUAUAAAGUAUAAAAGUUUCGUUGAAUUUUUUUUCAAAACUAAUAUCGAACCAUAUCACUAGUUCAUUAACAUUAAGAACAAUGUUCACAUGCAAAAAAUCUGAACUGAACUGUUAGGGUCACUGUAUCAUACAAAAAUAUGAGAAAAAACACAAAACUGUAAAUCCCUUCACAAACGACGUGUUUAACAUUCUUAAACAUUUUAAAACUCUGAUAAUUCCAGGUUUGCAGGGCACAGAGGAGAGAAGACCCAAAACCCGCGCCUAAAUGCACACACACACAGUCACCUAGUCAUCAAUUAACCAAUGCACGAAGCGCAUCAUCCACCACACAUCCAUCCACCACCCAUCUAUACAUCCAUCCACCACACAUCUAUACAUCCAUCCACCACACAUCUAUACAUCCAUCCACCACACAUCUAUACAUCCAUCCACCACCAACCAUCAUAAGGGGAUUCAUCCAUCCACCGAGAACGUAUCCAUCCAUCCAUUCAUUCAGUGAGAAAUGGUGUCGUCCAAAUGGUGUCCGACUCUGGCGCUCAUUUGAAAUUGGAUGGUGUUGGGGGAGAAACGACAAACGAGGAGGAAGAGUGGCGGGCGAUUCACCACAAACGGGCCAUACGCGCGGUGUGUGAGUGAGUGGAACAGGGAGGGAAUAUACAGCAAGAGAGAGAACAAGAGAGAUAGGAAAAGAAGAAGAAGGCGCAGGAAAGGCAAAGUAGGCAAAGGCAAAGGAGGGAACGAGGUGGGGGUUCCAGUAUUGCAUUAGCUCGUGCUGCCCAGUCGUCUCGCGCGCUCUGCUUUCUCGCCUGGCCUUGCGCUAUUGCUGCUGCUGCUGCUAUCGUCGUCGUCCUCCUCCUGCUCUCGUGAUUGAAGAGGUGGUAGUGGUAGUGGUGGUGGUAGUGCACGAGCACCUGGACGUGGUUCUUUACUCUCUCUCUCUCGCUUCUUCUCCGGCUCGCUCGCUUGAUCAAUCCAUCCCUUUCUUCCUGCCAUUUUCCCUCGCUAGGGUUUCCUUACUUUUGCAUUUUAUUUAUUUUGUAUUCUGAGGAAAGUGCGGAGCAGUGGCGGACUUAGACACAUUAGCUCUAUCUCACUCCCGUUUUUUUUUUUUUUUGGUAUUGUUUUUGGUAUCGUUUUUGGUGCCUCGGAGACUGUCUCUUCCAGUCGUGUCGUGCCGUGUCGCGUCCUUUCUUCUCCCUCCGUUUGCGCCCCGAUAUGUUUUCGUCACGCUCCCUCCCCCCCCCUCCCCUCCUACCAUUCUGGAAACUCUUUAUCUCUGCCAGUACGCAUGGAUCGGCCCGCUCGAAGCCCUUGAAGCCUGUUUUGCUGCAGAUGCUGUGUUGUUCGUAAUGUCAGAGUGAGUGAGUGAGGGUGCGUGCACAUAGGGUCGACUGAAGUGUCAGGGAGCUUGUUUCGAAGGUUGAUAUUCUGAUUCGAUUGCGCGAUGUACUUGUGCGAUUUCUUGAUCGGGGAUUAGUAGCGGGUUGGCGGACAAGGCAGCGGAGCGGGCUGCGCUGACUGUUCCGGAAGAUUGGACGGGUUUCAUGCGACGCUAUUACAUGGACUUGUUGUAGAAAUUUUGAACUGCGUCCGUAUUCAACAAGAACCAAUGUCAGAAGGCAAGUCUACCUCUCUUACUCUUUAUCUUAGUUCCGGAUCUUGGCAUGUGACCCAGCAUGUAUUCAAUCUCGCGGUGUUUCUGUGACCAGUUGUACCUUGCGUAAACCGUUAGCAUCAUUCGGAAGCACUGCCAGUCGAGCUCGUCCCGUCACAGUAGUUAUUCCACAUGAUUAGAGGAGAUACGAUGGCGCAGUUCAAGCGCUAGAUCAGCAUUUCUUCUGGAGACCUCUUUGUGCGGUAGUGGAUGCAGUCUGGUGAUUUCUUAAAAUUACGAUCGUCAGGUCACGAUUUGAAAUAAGGAUUGUGGCAAUGCCGCGGCCAUUUACCAGAGAUUCUACCAGCUCCUUAAGAUGUAUUACCGUCUAUUGGUCUCACCAAAGUGUAAUACUUCAUUCCACAGUUUUCGUGUAGGAAUUUACCUCGAUUUCAGGCAACUCCAAUGAGUGUGAGGCUGGGAAUUGCAUUGAUGGGACAUGGUACUGACGCAGAGCGUGGUUUGUCUCUUCAGGUCUCAAUGAGACUCAUGGGACGAAAGAAUUUAGCAUGCGAAGUCCUGCUUCUAGAGGAGCCGAUAGUUGCGCGGCCGCAUUGGUAACAUGUAGUCUAGGUCGUACAGAGGAAGGCAAUGUGGCCGACUAUUCAGGACAAGGGAUACGAAGCUCAAUUUUUAAUUUUCAGAGGCGGUCGCGAAAACGUGCUGUUGCCCCUGAGAAGGCUGUUUCACCUGGUCUCACCUGUAUGUCUGAGCCGUUGCCUCAAGGGGACACGGCUAACGACGUUGAUCUGCCAAAACAGAGCAUAGGGAAACAUUAUUCCCCCCGGAGUUGUGAGUUGCCCUCCAUUAAAUCCCUUGUCUCCGAUGAUGAUGGUGAGGCUAAGCGCACAGCACCACUCGACGGCUUGGAAGAUGUGGGUUUGGAUUCAGUUACUGGAGAGAAGGUUCUUUCCAAUGGCGAUUUUUAUGUCGGUACGUGGCAGGGAAGUUUGCCGGAGGGGCCGGGCAAAUAUUUGUGGGCAGAUGGGUGCAUGUAUGAAGGAGAAUGGGGAAGAGGCAAAAAGUCCGGACAGGGUAAGAUCUCCUGGCCAUCUGGGGCCACUUACGAAGGUGAAUUUAUGGGAGGGUAUAUGCAUGGGUUCGGCACAUACAUGGGAACCGGAGGUACAACUUACAAGGGCCAAUGGAGUAUGAACGACAAGCAUGGGCAGGGUCGGAAGAGGUACGCGAACGGAGACGUUUACGAAGGAGCUUGGUAUAAGGGAGUUCACGAAGGCGUGGGCAAGUACACCUGGGCAAGUGGAAACGAGUAUAAUGGGGAAUGGAGAGGAGGUACAAUGUGUGGUAAGGGGGUAUUAACAUGGGUUAGCGGAGAUAAAUUUGUUGGGCAGUGGCUGGAUGGGUUGGAACAUGGACGCGGAGUAUAUGUGUGGGCAGACGGGAGUUCUUACAUUGGAACUUGGAGUAGGGGCCUGAAAGAUGGGAAAGGUGUGUUCUAUCCUGCUGGUACUCGAGAUUUGCAAGCGACUCGAAACAGUGACGUAGGUGGUGUUUCAAGCUGUGCUCAUUUCAGUGGGGAACUCCGUCCUUUGCGGUGGUCUAGAAGUAGAUCCACAUCAUCUGAAAAGAUUCCUCAUUUCGGAGAACUGUCCAGGAGCGGAGAUCUUACCAACAGUAUCCAGAGACGAUGGAGCAUUGAUGGCCCAGCUGAGAAAGGGCUUGGAUUGGAAGGUUAUGGUAGUGUUCGUAACUCAGACACAAUCCUGGAAGAUGUGGAACGGGGGUCUGAUCGGAAACCAUUGGAAAGUGUCGGAACUCUACCUCCUACGGUAGUUGUGAGAGAAUAUGUGCAGGGCGUGCUUAUGAGUGAGCUGGUAAAAGAGAAUGCGGAAGCUGUGGGUCAUAAGAAGAGGAGGCCUCGCAGAUCUGCUCGGGAAAUCAAAAGACCUGGAGAAACCAUAUUUAAGGGCCAUCGCAGUUAUGACCUUAUGCUGAAUCUGCAGCUUGGCAUAAGGUAUCUUGCUAACCUUUAUAUAUGUAGAGAUUGAUGUUUUCUACAGGUAGUCAUGUUAAUAGAACACUACAUUUGAUUUGUGAAUGUUACCAAAUGAUUAGGUUUCAAACUGGUCUUACUCACACGAAUACUUUGGAUACCUUUUCAGAUGCUUGAGUAUUGUUUUGGUUUCAAUUUUUUGGGUAUAUUGUAGCGUGCCACACGUGUUGUGGAGUAUUGAAUCCAAUUCAUCAUCCGCUUCAAAACAAUUGUACUUGGUAACUGGGGUUGUCAGAAGGUGAGCAGUUUAUUCUUGUAUUUAUAGCCAGAUUUUUUAGUAUUGACUUUUGUGUCUUUCUUCACUGUUACCUCAUGACAGGUAUACUAUUGGCAAAAUUACUCCAGAGCCGAGGCAUGAGAUUGGUCCUAAUGACUUCGGACCUCGCGCCAGUAUACACAUGAAUUUUCCGAAGGCUGGGACGCCAAUGACCCCUAUUCACAGUUCAUCUGAUUUUAAGUGGAAAGAUUACUGUCCUAUGGUUUUCAGGUUUAAUAUCUCUCCUGCCAUGGGUUGAUGUUUUUAUUUUUUUCGUAAACUAGCCCCUUGCAUUAUGGCUCUAUCUAGCCAUGUUUCUCAAAGUGGUUGUUCUAUUUGGUACGUAAUAUUGUCUACGUCAUUGAACUUUGGCGAUGCCAAGUGAUGUUUAUUGCGCAAAGGACAUGAAUAUAGGAAUCAUACAAGCACUUUUUUGAGUUUUGGCAAUUUAAAAACUUGGCAGGCAUUUGCGAGAAAUGUUCAAGAUUGAUGCAGCAGACUACAUGAUAUCCCUAACUGGAGAUGAUGCAUUGAGGGAGCUUGUUUCGCCUGGGAAAAGUGGCAGUGUAUUUUAUCUUUCGCAUGAUGACCGAUUCAUCAUCAAAACGAUGAAGAAGGCAGAAGUGAAGGUGAUCUACCUCGUGUUUUUGGGAAAGAUUAAUAUUAUUGGCGGGAUUCGGUCAUUAGGUGAAAGUAUUUUUUUGAUAUACGUUUGUUACUGCAAUGAGGUGUGUCAUCACAAGUCCUCUUGAUACUGCGAGAUCAGUAUCAUUUAUGAGAUCACUGUCCAACUCCAGUGCACUAAUUUUUUUUGGUUCGCUUAUGUUUUUACAGGUGCUUUUGAGUAUGCUUGCAGCGUACCAUUCCCAUGUGAAAACUUAUGAAAACACCCUCAUCACUAAAAUUUUUGGCCUCCAUCGUAUCAAGCCCUACGGAGGUCAAAAGGUGAAUUUCUUGUUUGAUGCAUUACUUUUUGUGUUAAUUUAAACUUGCGUCUUUGUGUUGAAGAUUAAAGGUCGUUGAAUUGGAUUAGCUGGUAAUGUGCAGCUUAUUAGAAUGCAGUCGAGCAUGUAUUCUAAUUCUACAUUUACUGGGUCUAUUUGAGCUGUCGUAUUGAGUGUACGUUUUAGCAGUAAUUUUGGACGUAUCGUUUCAUUUUUUAAGUUAACGGUAGAGCUCUUGUUGGUGAAUUCGUCAAGCAGCAUGCGUUGUGUUUAAAAUGAACUUCUACGAUUUCUGUCUAUUAUUUCUUACAAUUAUUUUCCUUGAAAUGUUUGAAUGCACCUUCUCUUUCAAUUUGUUAUCAGCAGGAUGCUUCUUAUAUUUUCAACAAUGAUGUUUCUUGAGAUCUAUCACUCGAACACUUUCACAGCAUUGAGCCAGCUAAAUAAGGUGCCUGUUAACAUUGUGCUCACUAUCUUCUCAAGUCUGACUAAGAGUUCACUAAGUUGCAGGUGCGGUUUGUAGUGAUGGGCAACAUGUUCUGUACUGAGCUUCGUAUCCAUCGGCGAUUUGACCUGAAAGGUUCAUCACAAGGGCGCUCUGCUGACAAGGUGGAAAUCGACGAAACAACUACGUUAAAAGACCUGGAUCUCAAGUAUGAGUUCCGACUUGAUCCUUCGUGGCGUGACUCACUACUACGGUACGCAGAUAUCUUGUACAUUGUGAUGCAUUGUUUGCUGAAUGUCAAAAUAUUGCCACUUUUCUCUGCUCUUCUUUUCUCCCCUUCUUCCUUUUUGAGUAGAAUCCCUACGGAAGAUUAUCACAUGUUAAGCACACAUUUGUACAGAUUUACAGUGUAUGUACGUUUCUUGCAGAAAUUUGAAAUAGAUGAGAACAUGAAAAAAGUAGAAAUAAAAUCUCUGAUCAACAGUUUUAGUGUUGAUGGAGUUCCGGAAUUUCUUUCCUUGUUCAUCUCACGUCCAGAAUUGUGGUGAAAGUGAUAAUGAAAGCUUUUCUAGUCUAUGUCUGUCCUGGUAAUUUGUUUGUUCUGUUUGGAGCGUAGUACAUGUUUGGUCAUGCUCUGCCUUGACAUCCUCAAACUUUUUGAACAAUUCGUCUUUGAAUUAAAUGUUCCUAGUUUAUUUCUGAAGUAUAUGAUGUAUUCUCUCACCGCAUUUUUACUUCCAUUACGAAUCAUUUGUCUUUGGGACUUUCUUUAUGCGGGAUGGAUGUGGAUCAUUUCAGGCAACUUGAGUACGACUGCAAGUUCCUAGAAAGUCGGGGCAUCAUGGAUUACAGUAUGUUACUGGGCCUUCACUUUAGAGCUCCUCAGUACAGAACACUUUUGACUCCAGGCGCUUCCUCUGCACGAGAUGUUCCCCCAAACGAAUCGUUUACAAGCACCAAUUUAGACGAAGGUACUCAAUUCGUAUCUUGUUUAACGCUUUGCUCGGUCUUUGCAAUCAUUUUGGAUACCUUAAAGAUCUUACUAGCUGCAAGUUUUGGUGAUCUUACCUCAACAUGUUCUUGCAGUUUUGUCAAUUUUGCCCAUUAUUACCUGCUGAUAAAAUGUAAUCCUUGUUUAUGUUUCCCGUUGUUUACUGAAUGAAAUGCGUUGUGAAGUUUUCUUACAAGUGAAAAUGCAUUCAAUAUUUGUGAUGGGCAAUACAAGGUAUCCAUGUAUGGAAGGAAGAAAUCCUAGUAUGUAGCUCUUAUCUGUAUCAUAUGUUUGAUAUUCCUGUAACUCCUCUAUUUUGUAAACUAGCAGGAGGGGAUGAAGAGUGGGCGAGUAACAGAGGCCUAAUGUUGGUGACGCGAGAUGCCAGUAAUGUUAGCAGCGGAACCCCUGGCAUACAUAUACGGGGAAGUCCUUUACGAGCAUCUGUGGCCGGAGACCCUGAAGUUGAUUUGCUGCUUCCAGGCACAGCUCGGUGAGGAUUUUGUUUGCACUUCUAGAUCAUUUUUGGCACAUGGAUUCAAGAAACUGAAAACUAAAAACUUUAUUUCGUUUAUUAUAUCUUAAUCCAUCUUCUAAUGUCAAGAUGCUCUGGAAUUUGCAAGCUUUGUAAUGUUCUUGAUGCGAUUGUGUUUUCCUUGUUAGCAGAUUGAGAAUACAGCUUGGAGUCAACAUGCCUGCAAGAGCUGAAUGUGUACAUAAAAAGGACAGCGAUGAAUCGAAACCUUCUGAGGGACAACUUUUUGAAGAGUCACAUGACGUGGUGCUAUAUUUUGGCAUCAUUGACAUCCUGCAAAAUUAUAACCUCAGCAAACGCAUAGAACACGCGUACAAGGCUUGCCAGUUUGAUUCGAUUUCCAUAUCUGCGGUGGAACCCAAAUUAUAUUCCAAACGCUUCCAAGAAUUUAUUCGGCAAAUUUUUCCUCCAACUCAUUUGAACGAGUGAGGUUGUCCAGUGCGAACAGCAGUUUGAGAAUCUAUUCUUGGUCAGAGAAUGUGGGAGAGAAUAUCGAGGUGAUAUAUAUAUAUAUAUAUAUAUAUAUAUAUAUAUAUUUCAAAUAACUUCUAAAGUCAUUCAUUGUAAAUGCUUGCUUGAAAGACAGGCACUUUCUUGACAACGUUGAUCGAUCAAACAUUAAUUCUAGUGCUAACCAAUCCGUACUUCACGGUUGGAUGUUUAAUUUCCACGUAUUAUCACCAGAUGAUUUUUCAGUACCCUAAAAAGAUUCAACAAAAUAUCAUUACGCGUCACGCUGUUGUAUAUUUCGGACUAGAGUUUUCAUCAAAUGAUUGAUUUCACGAGUAUCGCGCAUUUUGAAUGAAUGAAACAAAGAUAAUUUGUACUGAUCGCCAUUCAAAUGAACCCCAUCCAUCUCUUAUUACACUCAACGUGAAGAGAUUUGUUUUCAGGUAUAGCCAUCUAAAUAAAAAGUUGUUUAAUCAAAUAUGGUUCCUACCUACAAAUAGACAUUCGCCUCGGAUCAGAUUCACUGACUAGAUCUAUAUUAGAAUUCCAAGAGCUACAAAUAAACUACCGUCUGACUGAAUGUGGACAGUGAAGCAAAUGGAAAAACACAUACUAAUAGAACUUCCCGAAAAGUUUCAGUAGUGAAUGCCACAGGCUCCCACAUACAAGAGUAAAGACAUGCCACAAAUGUACAAUCAAUCACGGAAUGGUGUGAAAUAAUACCCACGCCAUGGUUCAUUUCAUGAAAAAGCACUGGCAUGAAAGAUAACCUCGUUCCUUGUGGUGUAAGACAAUGCUUUGUGUGAUGUCAAGAUUGUGAUAACCUGUCUGCACUCUACUGACUAAUCGCAUACUGCUGCUUCAGCUGUCCAUUGCAAACAUCUGCAAACACGAAGUAUUUGAAUUUAAAACAUCGAAGAGAACUCUUUAAAAGCUCCUUAAACAACAGCUACAACUUGACUUUCAAAACAAACGGCUUAAUUUGGUGACAAGGACGCGAUGACCAACAAAAACAAAUUACCUAACCCCCUAAGUAAAAACUGUCUAGAAAUUCUACUCAUAAAUACUAGGUGGUAUUCUUCUCAGCUUCACGACAACAGUCAGAAGCAAAGAAUCUGAUAUGGUAAGAACACUCAUCCUUUCAAGUAGACAACUUCAAAGGCUCUAAAAUCAUCCAAGGCACGUUGCGAACAGAAACAAACCCCAACAAUCACUAGAAAAGGUAAAGAGAAAUCCGAUGUAGUUUUUGAUAAGUGGCACCAAAAGAAUUUGACAUGAUAGGAAUAAGUCAAGUCUAAUGCAUACCCUCAUAAAAUCACCAAGCAUGCCUUGUACACCACUCCUUCGUUGUAAGUUAAAAAAACGCUCUCCUAUCUCAUCCAAGUACUGCAUUCUCAAUGCAAAUGUAAGUUUGAAAGGGGAACAAUAACAAUAUUAAUAACAAUAAUAAUCAUCAUAAUAAUAAAAUACCUAUCAAAUGAACAUGAUCAAACGAAUAAACCCAGAGAGUACUCAGACAGUGAUUCCCACAUAUGGAUAGAAGAUCUACUGUAGACACAGCACAAAAUCUGAUAUUCAAUACAAAAAUACGCGUUUCUAACAUGACUCAAGAAGUACCUCAUCAAGAGAAGUAUCACGAUCGAGACUAGGUUUGUACUUUUGCCGAAGCAUCUUGAACAACGGUAACGCAUCUCUCUCAAGCCUGAAUACACACCCAAUACGAGAAAAUAUAUAUUUGAGUGCGUUACAUUGAGAUAUCAAUAAAACUUACGUAACACGCUUCGCACAACCAAACAGCUUCAUAAUAAUGCAGAAGUAAAAGGCAUUGCUAAAAGCGUCAACGCCUAGACCAAAAGCGAGCCCUUAAAAGCACGACAGACAAGGCAUAACAUGUCCCAUACGUUAAAAGAAGGAACUUGAUGAAGUGUAGCAGUGGUGUAUCCGGAAGUUCUUGAGAACUGUCGCUAAGUCUCUGCCUUACAGAAUCCCAAAGGCGAUUAGCAUCUCUCAAGUUACCAAGAGAUAAAUACCUGCACAAUAAGCAGCAAUUUGUGAGAACCUAAGUGAAGGAAUUACAGUAAAGAGUAAGAGAGGUGCCUAAGUGGAAGACUUACAACAAGACGGCCCUUGCAACCACCAAAUCUGCUUCGCCAGGAUAGCACUGCAACAUUAGAAAACAACAACAAUAUAAUGGUAAUCGUGAAGAGCUCUUACAAAAUAAGAGAGAAGACCUUCCACGAAAUAGGUUUUAAUACACAAAAGGGAAAGGGAAACUGGCACGAAGUGCACAUUAAAGACCAGUUAAGCUCAGCGUUGGAGGUCGAGAUUUUUAGAUGACGAUACUAACACCCGGAGGAGGAGCAUAUACAAAUAGAAAGAAGCAGCUACAUGUAGCUACAGAAAAUACAACUCCUUGAGCACGUUAAAAUGCUUCAAGGCAUGUAAGCGAUUAGUCAUGAAUUGAUGAGCAGUACCUUGUCCAUGCACUCAACCACUACUUUAGCGAAUGUCUCAGGCUGGUUCCCUCGCACAAAAUGUUGUGAUGCUUUCAUCGUUUCCUGCAGAAAAAGUACCCAAAUAUCAAAAAUAGAAAUGCAACAAGCAGAUUCAGCCUGGGAAAGCUGAUUUUACAUCAUCACAGAGCUUUUGAGCUCUAAAUAAUUGAUAAAUAUCCGAACACAAAGAUGUCAACGAAUACUCUCAAUAGUUCAUGUUCUAAAGCACAAACACUGCUCCAGCAAAGCAGGAUACCGAAAAUUUGUUGCUUAACAUACAUAUACUACUUAUUACAAACAUUCUCCAAACUUAUGACUACUUUCAAUAUUUCGUGCCAGGUGGAUGCCCUGCAAAGUGCCAAAUGGUUCUCUUCAUUUAUUAAGCAAAAAAAUAAAAUGUCAUUUGAAUGCAUCUAAACGUCAUUGUUGCUUAAGAGAACGAAGAGGCCAUUAGCAGGAAUUCACAAGAGAAACUCAUAGGAUCUUCGUAUAGUACACAUACGGGGUGGGGAGAUUCAGUCCAAAUGUAUUCACCGAGCAUGUCAUGCAACUCAGGAGCACCUCUAGGAAAGCCUCCGGUCUCUAUCGACCACCUGCAGAAGGUAACAGUGAAUAACAAUGUCAGUGAGCUUCAUUGUGACGGAAAAUGAGAUCGCGGGCUUGAAAAGUACUUAACUGUAAAUAAAAAAAUAGUUAACAAACGAAGAUGUAACUGGUCAAAAGUUUUCACAAAAACAAAAAUCUGUACUUUAGAGCUGAUCGUAGAAACGAUGUGCAUCCCUCCACACGGGUCUUUGCAAUAACUGCGGCCUCAGAAGAUUCUACGCCUAAGUUACUCGUGUCAUUGCUGGAAGAUUUCUCUUGUCGAGUACCAGCAGUCCGUGGAUAUGCAUUAUAAAUUGUUCUUAUUUGAUCUGGCACAAAAACAAGAACAACCAUAAAUAACCUAAAGAUAAAAUAAUAGAAAAUAGACUUAGAAAUUUCACAAACAGAAAAACAAAAUAUAAUGCCCAGCGUAUUCAAACGAAAGUAAGAAGCGCCAUAGACAACGGUAGCAAAUUGAAAAAGUUUCAACCACUAUUUAAAUGACCAUUAGAGACAGAAGAUAUGUGCAUACCCAGUGUAGAGCUAUCAAAAGGUAAUUUUGCUACAUUGAAAGUCUGUAUCAAAAGCACACCAAGCUCUGUCCCACACGUGACCUGCAUUUGGAACAACGUGAUAUCAUUUGAGGCAGCCCCGCUAGACAAAAGCUAAAUUUUUUAUUUCAUACUGAUCUAAUCGCCCAAACAUCGGUCGAUGAUAUAUGAUAGCUUCAUAACCUUCUUACCCUAUUCAUUCCGUUAAUUUUAUAUUUCAUUCGAUAUGUACCACAGUGGAAAUCGGGGGUGAAUGGAUACCUCCCCAUGAUUGAGCAUCGCUACUGCACCAGAGUUCAAGAGUUCAAUAGCCUCGUUGUACUUCUUGGCAUGCAUGUAUCUAGCAACAUGCACAGCGACCAACCCACCUCGUUACACGGAAAACCAUGAAAAGGCACCAGACAGCCCCGCAGAUGCACCAAUUAGCUUGUCCUUAGGUCAGUGAACUCAUCCGUAUUUCACCACAAAUCAGCAUAAAACUGAAAACACCAAGAGAAUUUUGAACAUCUUCCAAACAAUAAACAAACAAACAACUUUGGAUUCACAAAUUUGCAAAUCCAAAACAUUGAAUGCCGGCCAUUAGUUCCGACCAAGUCUACAGUCACAAAGAUCGGAACGACGAUUUAUGCUAUCCAGGGAACAAAUUCCUAGACAGUUGAGAUGAUCGAUUUGAAAGGAGGAGGAUAAGAUGUGGUUCAGAAUUCACCUACUAGUCCCCCAUCAAAUCAACGAUCUGGAAACGGUCCAACACAAGCGAUCUCUCUAUGAAAGUACCAGCAUGAAAGCACCAGAUUCGAGUGCAAGCGCUACCUGGAGUGGAUAGUCUUGUACAUUUGUUGAGCCUCAUAGUAGUUCCCCUCGUGAACCCUCUUCUCAAGCUUCUCCAAUUGCUGAAAACCACGCCAAAUUCAUGGAAUCAGCUAAGCCCAGCACCGAUCAUAUGAAUUCUUCAUUGAGACCCAAAAAAACCAACAAAGUGGAACCUAACAAUGAUCCCCUUAUCUAAGGUGGAUUCACCACUGAUACUGAAUGGACCCUAACAACAACAACAACAGCAACAAAAAAAAAAAAAAAAAAAAAAAAAAAAAAAAAAAAAAAACAAUUUUAUUUUUAUUUUUUUAAAACAAAAACACACACACACACACACACACGAGAGUCAGUGCGUGAGAUGAAACGUGCCUUGGAAGUGCCGCUGCUAGAUGCAGCGACAACCAUCUUGCUCCACCUGCUGCUGUUGCUGUCCAAUUCUACACUCUGCGCAGUAUAUACAAUCCACACGAAACCCUAAAAACUGAACCCCAAUGUGCAACUUCCUCGCGGAACACAAAUGAUAUCUGCAAACUGGGAAUAGUUAGAAAUGUUGCGAAUUGAGUUGGGUGCUGAGUGGAAUGAUCGACGACGAAACGAUAGUGAGGGGAAGAAGGGGGCGAGAGCUUCAACAUCACAAUACACCAGGCCUGGCCUUCUUCCUCAUGCGGUGUUACAAACAACUCUCGUUCAACCAGUACAACAUUCGCCCCUCGUGGAUGAAUGGUACACAUUCGUCUCUCUUUUCUGUCCUGUGGAUGCUCUUCAUCUCUUUGAUGCCACCAGCAACAAUAUUAGGGUAAUUCCGGGCAGGUUCGCGACCCAGGGCCUUUACCCGCUUCAUCCCUGCCCGAGCGGGCUGAUCAUAUUUUUUACCUGCCCGGAAAUGCUGAGUGAAGCCCUAAGUUAUUUAUAAAUAAAAAACAUAUAUUUUUACUUAGUUUUAUGUUUAUUUUAAGGCGAAAUUUUUUGGUUCAAAGAAAAAUUAAGGAAAUUCGAUGAAUGAGUUUAAUUUUCAAGCAUUUAAAAUUUUCUCUUAUAUUUAGAUUCAAACUUGUUAUGAGAUUUUACUAACUAAAGCAUAGCGUGUUGUCUUUCUUGUUGUUUAAAAAAAGAAAAAAGAAAAAAGAAAAAAGAAGAAGAGUUUCGAUCUGAGUUUCUCUCUUUCUCUCUCUCUCUCUUUCUUUUUCUUUUUUUUUUUUUUUUUUUUUUUCCUUCUACUUCUGAGAAGGUUUUGUUAUUAUUAGAAUAUUUUUGAAAACAAAAAAUAUUAGAGACCAAGAUUAAGUUAUUUCCAAAUUAAUGGUGGUAUGACAAGCAUUGUAAAGUUUAAUUUAAUCCUUCUUUUAAUAACAACUUUAUAACCACAUUUUUCCUUGAAGGUCAUUCUUAUAUGUCUCCACUUAAAAAGUGGUUCAUAAUAGCAUUCUACAAUACUGUAUAAUUAACACACUUUGUUUCUUAAUCUACAAAUGCUGUACCACAUUGUAUAAUAAUUAAUGUUUUUAUGAAAAAUAUUUGUUAAAUUUCACUAUUUAUCUCUUUGUAAUGCUUAAAAACCCCACAACAACUUAUUACUAUUUAAUUUAUCUUUAAAGAUGGAUUAAAAAAAUUAUACAAUGACUUUAUUCAUCUCUUGAAAAGUUUAAUAGAAUUUACAAAUACUUAUGCACCAAAAUAAUAUAUAUAUAUAUAUAUAUAUAUAUAUAUAUAUAUAUGUUUUCUAGUGGAAAUCUAUGCUGUUGGCCACAAAAAAAUUGUGAAAGUUUAAUUUGUGAUUUUUUAGUAAAAAAUUGACCACUCCUAAAAAAAAUGUUGAUCAAGCAAAAAAGAAAAGAAAAAAGAAUAUUGAAAAAAGAAUAUAUGCAUAACAAUGGAACCAUUUAUGUUCUACAGUGUAAUUGAAAAACACAAUUUUUAUUUACUACAACUUAAAUAACUUAGUUAAAAAAAACUUUUAAAUAAACUAUAUUUAUGGUGGUAUUUUAAUAUUUAUUUUUUUUAGGAUAUAAGAUCUUAUUUAUAUUUGGAAAAAGUAGAAAUUUGUGCCAUUGAGUACCAAAAAAUGUUCUUGUGUAUUCUUGUGAGUUUCUAUGGAUUCCCAUGCAUUUCCAUGAGUUCUUCAAGUUCCCAUGUGUUUCCAUGCAUUCCUUAAGUUCUAGAAGGUUCUUUUGCAUUUUUUUAGGUUCUUGUUACAUGUAACUAAUUAUUUUUUAAUUUUUUUGGUGUUGUGGUUGAUUGCUCUUAUAAAACAUGCAUUAUCAAUAAUUCAUUGUUUAAAAAUCAGUGUGUUUAUUAGUUCAUUGUUCAAAAUUAGUCUUAUCAUUAAUGUUGUAUAAAAUAUGUCUUAUCAUUAAUUUUUGUUCAAAAUCAAGUGGAAUUUUAUUUUUUUGGUUUAUUAAAAAUGAUUAAUUUUUUUUGUUUAUAAAUUAAUUUGAUAUCAUAAACACUAGCAACAUGGACAUGUAAAGUAAAAAAUGAGUUUUUUUAAUAAAAUAAAGUAAAAUUUCUAAAUAGGUUCAUUUUCAUUAUUUAAAAUAUGCAAUAUCAAAAAAAAAGAUUGCUUCAAAUUUCCACAUUACAUAAUAAACUAAUGCAUUUUUUUUGUUCCCUUUUUGUAUUUUACGGUUAACAAAUUUAAAAAAUACAAUGAUCACAAUGAAAAAUCAAAAUCAAAAUCAAAGAAAUGAGAAAAAAUUAUUGGAAGUUUAAAAUGCAUGUAGUUUAAUUUUCUUAUAAGAGGUAUUUGUUUUCAACUCUCAAAUUUAUGCAUGCUGCUUGUUUCAAAUAAAUUUACUUUGAUUUUCUUCCUGGAAUCUCCUCUUGAAAUGAAACCAAACAAACAGACCAAAUCAUUUGUUGUAGCAGAUAACAAUUCCAAUCCCUCUUAUUGAAGUUCUUGCAAUCCAAGAGGAAUCAUGGAAACAAACUCAGUGCUUUGCAAUUACAGACAAAGUCUACAAAAUUGAUAAUAAUGCCUUUUUUUUUUUUCUUUUUUUUUUUUUUUUUUUUUUUUUUUUCCGGCUGUGGUUAGCUUGGUUGUUAGCAUCAUAUUACUGACAAUGAACCAAUCAAGCUUCUAGGUCUCUAAUCCCACAAACUCAGAAUUUCAACGCUAUCAAAGCCUUAAUUAGUGGCUUUAAAGCAAUUGCAAUCAUUAGAUGGUUUUGCAAUGUGAUUAUUGUUUGUUCCAUAUUCAGUGUUUCCAAUUCUUGUCAAAAGGAAGGAGUCUUUAACUUCUACAAAAUUAAACAUGACUUACAGAAAUCAUAUGCAGUAAAGGCAGGUAGUUCUUAGAAUCAUUUUUUUGCAAAUGCUUUCAUCCAACCCAUAGAUUCAUGUAGACUGAUCUGUACUUUGGCAUUGAAACACACAAACAAUGCAAAGGGACUGGAAUGAGUUUGUACAUAGCUCCCAAAGUGAUAACUGCUUAGAAAUUGUGAAUGGACCCUUUGAAACUCAAUUUUUGCAACUGCCUGUCCCACAAUCUGUUCCUUGUUAGCACCAAAUUACUUAAUAAUGUUGGAUUCAAUAGCCACACAGUGUGUCUCAAGCAACAAUGUCCUCACAAAGAAUAACAUCAUCAUUGCCAUUCUCAUGUAAAUUUUCAUAGUUGAGAUGGGAGCCACAACUUGUGUUAAAUGCAGCAUUUCAGAUCAACAAUGUCUUCAUAGAGCAUGAGAAAGAUCCUGGAUGCAAGUUUAACAAAUUCCAUUGAAAUACAUAAGAUGUUUGAACAGUCACAAUAACUACAGAUGCUGGACAAAUUUAUGUGAAGACCUAAAAAAUUGUGUUUGCAAGAUCUUUUAAGAUUCACACUCAAAUAAAGAAAUACCUGGUUCUACAGUGACAAACAAACUAGAAAAAAUUGAAGUAAUCAAAUGUGAGAUCCACCAGAUAAACAUCAUGUAAUAAACAUACCUUUGUAUAUCUACCCCUGUUUUUCUACAUCUUGUUUAGCUACUACCACAAGAUAAGAUACUUAUAAAUAAGUCUCAACAUUGUUCUUACAACAACACUGUUAUACAAAUACUCUCAACUUGGCCUAACUUCAGUUGAUUUCCAUGCUGAUUCCUGUAGAUUUGUUUUGUAAAAAAAAAUUAGUCAAUUUAACUAGUUGACUUGAAUAUCUUCAACUGGCAUUUAUAAAUAUAUUAUUUGAAUUUUUUUGCUAAAUUAUAAUCAUUUGAAAUCUUGUAUUUGUUGUAUAUAAAUUAAUAUACAAAAUUUUUAAAACUUUUAUAUUAAUUUAUAUAUAUAUCUUAUAUUUGUUGAGAUUUAACCUUCAAAAGUUGUUGUAUUUAAAUAAUAAUUUUGUAAGGUCUUUUUUAGCUUUAUUUUAUAUAUGUUUUAUCCUAGAAACAUUUUGCUUCUAAUCACUAGAAUAAUACAACUUGAUAUGCAAAUAAUAUCUCUUUCUAAUCUUACAUAAAGAAUCUAAUUUAAAAAUUUAUAAUAAGAUGAGAUUCAAUACUUAAAAUUUGUCUUCUUUAUAGAUGAACAUAAAAAAAAUAUGUCUAAUAUACUCAAUGCAUCUAAUAGAUUCAUUAUGCCCUGAUUUCCUGUCAUUAAAUAUACAAUAAAACUAACUAACAAAAAUCCCUUAACAUGUAUAUAUGUACGUAGCACUGAUUCUUAUAACAAAACAAAAGCCGCUAUUGUUGAUUACAUUUGAGGCAAAGAAUUGAUCUCAAAAUUCUCAGUUUAUUUUUAUUCUCCAAAGUACAAAAAAAAUUGCAUCUAUUUAUUUAAUUUUAUUAUAUAAUAAUAAUAUAUUGCACUUUAAACCAUAAAAUAAUGAUAUUUAAAAGACACAUACUUUACAAAACUAAUAAAAGUUCUAACAUUUGUAUCAUGGCUUGUGUAUUCCUUUGAGCUGACAGUUAGCUGUUAUUUAUUGUUACGAUUUAAAUCAUGUUGUGCAUACUUGUGUGAUCUUCCGUUUCAAUGAAGCACCACAUCUAGCUACACACAAAAAAAAAAAAAAAAAAAAAAAAAUCAUGAAAAUUUAAAGGUGAAGAUUGAAUAGACUCCAAACUCACCUAUUAAUUCUGGUAAGAGAUCAGGUAUCAUGUUGAAUGAAAUCAGAACAUAAUGAAUCAUGCAACUAAGACAAGACUAUCGUGUUGUGUUUGAGAAAGGAUGCAAAUGUAUGAUUUCAUAGCAGAGGAAUUCAGAAAAUGAUUUCCAUAGUUGGAUAAUUCAAAAUGGGGUAAAAACUCAAAGUUUCAGUAAGAGGACGUACAAAGCUACUGCUUUUUUGUUUGUUUUCGUGAGCAGUUCCUCGGUGAACCUUCUCAGAAUUCUUCAACAGAGCAUGCUCCAUAACUUUACUAGCUUGAAAGUUCAAUAGUACCAGUUUUUUUUAAGACAACCCACUGGCCUUCGUCUGACCUCAGAACAUUGUCAUUAAGCGAAUCUCCUAGUUUUGAUAAUCACAAGAGCCUGCGCCACCAUUUUGGUCAUUGCCGACGGGUCUGAAUAAAACCCAUGCUGUAUGCUGUAACCUUUGCUGCUAAUCAUCCCAUAUACUGAUACCAAUUCCUCCAAACAGCUGUGCAAUCCGGACGACUACCAAGUCUUGUUGUGCAAUGUUGGCAGGUUCAUAUCAAAACUGAACAUCACAUGUAGACAACUAUCCUCACAAGUGGAACUAAAACAACCUUCACCUUAAAGUGGAUAAAAAGAAACCUCUCAUAGAUUCAUGACAUGUGCUCGUGACGUACCAACGCAUGAUUACUUAACACUGUAAAUAUAACAUAGCAUUCUGCCACAUUCCUCACCCGGGUGCGACUCCCGGCCGUUACAGGUGCAGGACGUCACACUAACUGGAAUAGCUCAGUUGAUUAGAGGGGGGGGGGGGGAGAGCGGCGGCUCGGUCGCCAUGAAAAUCGGAGGUGUAGAACCGCCUUUUAAGGAAACAUGAUCUCUCUUGCAUUUUGAGUGUUAGUUAAUCCUCACAGGAAUCUUCAUAGUUUUUUGAUUUCCUAGGGGAUCUAGAAACACCGCCCUGACAAAAAUUACGAGCUUGUAGAACUUAAUUUUAUUCAAAAUGGUUCGCACUAGAUCUCAGAGUCUGUUGGACAGGCCUAGAGCGGGCUCAGAGCCAAACAAUCGUUUGCCCCCGAGUUCAGAAGAGACUACAGUAAUGAGGAACACCACAUUUAGGAAUAGCAAGAGAUUAGAAUCUCAAGCCCGCCAAACGUCUGGACCAAGUAAUGCGGCAAAAUAUAAAAUGGAUAGUACUCAGCUAUGUGAAAGGGUGAAUGCAAGGAAAGCACAGGAGGAAGGGACCAUAGCGAAGUAAUGGAGCAAACAACACCAACUCAAUGUGACAGUCACGCAAGUAAGCUCUUCUCACACUUUCUCGGAUUGCCACAACGAAGAAAUGAUUCACAACAGUCUAGGAACUAUUACCAAAGCAUCCAUGGGCAAUUUCCAACUAGAACCGUAUGCUUGCCUGAAUGAGAUAUCCAAUCCACUACAACAAGACAACAACCAAACAGUGGAUAGACCAAAGGUUAACUCUUCACUGGACAUAGCAGAAGAUCUUUCAAACUCAAAAUGCCAAGUUAACUCCACCUUUCUCGUCGAACCAUAAACAUAGCUAUAUCACGAUGGCAAUUCACCAUAGAUAAACCAGAAGGCGAUUCAUCGGAAGCAACAUUAUUCAAAUCCUCGGAGAAAGGUCAGACACCACUUAUUACAAAAACAAAAACUGAACCCACACAGUAAUUGUUGCCUUCAAGAAAUAUAGAACAAAAUACACCCCUUGCCUCCAUUCUAGAUGAACCCGAUCCCAUUGAUGUUUCCAACAUGGAGGCAAAGUAAUAAGUCUUAGUGACUCAAUUCAUCUUAAACAUCAAGAAAAUGAUUUUGACACAUUGGAUGGAAAUUGAGUAAUACAUUGAGUAAUACAUCAAAGAAAUGAUCUAGACACGUUGAAUGGAAAUUGAGCACUACAUCAAAGAAAAUCAACAUCUAGACCUAAUCCACAAGGCUACAAUAAAAGAAGAAUUACUAGAACUACUAAAUAAGAUUUGACUAGACACUGAAGUUGUUAGAACAGCCUAGAGAAUCACCUCUAAAUCUUUAAGUGGUUCUCAAUUGGCUCCCAUCUAUGUUUCAAGUAUACAACUAUUGACUAGCACACAACAAAGACUAUGAGCAGAAGCCAUGAGUAUGUAAGCAAAGGCACUAAUAUGUCAUGCCAGAUAUAAUCUGGGUCCUAGACUCCUUCAUGAAUGGACCACAAACAUGCUUUAUAAAUCCUUUGAAACUCUAACUAUGUUGAAAGGAGACUUCUUCAAAAUUGUAUCCAAAGAAGGAGGUAACCAGAAUGCGUUAGUACAACUGCAUUACUUCAAACAAAUGGAAAUUCUUCGCAUGCCCUGGAAACCAAACUUCAUUGUAGGAUUUAUGGAAGGAAUAAUCAAACUAGCACAUCUAACAUGGGCUCAAAUCCACAAACUUUUCAUAUUGCUAUGAUUAAUACAAAUAUUAACAAAAAUCAUUAGUCCAAUGGCAGAGGUAAUUUGUGUGGAAACAAAAAGCCAUUAUUGGAAGAAAGCUACAAGCCUAAUGUGAGCUAAAAUAAACCUCCACUAAUUGGAAGUUUAUUCUAACUCACAAUAAGUGAAUUAACCAUAUGAAUUUAAAAUAAAGCUAUUAUUUAAAUUCUAAUCCACUUAUUACUUGUCCUUCUUAAAACACCAAGUUAUUAAUCAAAUCUUCUAACAUCACUCACAUUCACAAUGAUAAUUCACUCCUUGACUUCAUGCAAAACAAUUCCUUCUUCUACUUUUAAUUAGAUAAUUUAGUUUAAUUUUUAAUUUAAUUUAAUUUUAAUUUAAAAUUUAUUAUUUUUUUAUUAGGUCAUUUUUUAUUAUUUUAUCAUUUUUUAAAAAUAUAUAAAUUUUUACUUCUUAAUUAAUUGAUGGAAAAAUUAAUUAAUUAAGUUAUUAUCCUUAAUCCAUAGUAAUUAUAAAUUUUUUAAAGGUUGGGUUAAAAAUUAAAAAUUAAAAGUAAAGUUUAAAAAGUAAAAGUAAAAGUAAAAUAAAAAUAAAAUAAAGGUUAAAAAAUAAAAAAUAAAAAUAAAAGGGAGAAGAUGAGAAGUUAAAAAUUAAAGCCAAAAGUGAAAUAUAGAAGUUAAAAUUUCCUGUAAAAAAAUAAAAAUAAAAUAAAAUAAAAGAAAAAAUAAAAUAAAGAGAGGUACCAGUGGAAGUACCUUAACAAUGCCCAAGGAUUGAAGGAAGUACCCCCCUUUUACUCCAAAAUUUUCCAAAAAUCCAAAUUAGCUCCAAAUAUAAGGAUUUUUGUUGCAAUGGAAAUUUGACUUCAAGGCGCUCUUAUUACAAAACUUUCGUAGCAAUCUAGUACUUAAGCUGCGAGCAAUGCUUCUUCAAAGUUGGGUCAUUGGGUCUGCUGCUGCAGCCGACCCCCCUUCACUCAAAAAUUUGUUAAAAAUUCAUAAUUGCUUUAAAUGUAAUGAAAUUUACACCAGUGGAAGCUCAUAUUAAAGCUUAUUUUAUUCCAAAAAUUUCAAAAUGAUCCCAUUUAGUGAAACUGAGGAAUGUCUUUUCAAAAUUGGGUUAUUGAAACUGCCAAGGCAGCCACCCCCUUUGCACUCAAAAAUUCACCAAAACUUCGGUUCAACUCCAAAUUGAGCAAGCCUUAGCUUGUUGGACAGCUUAUAACAAGGGCUAUGUGAUGAAAAAUAUUCAAUCACAAAUCAUAAAAAACCAAAAAUUUAUUGAGGAAAAUCAGAGGCCCCUCAAACCCUUUUGACUAUGGAAAUAGUUAGUGACCACUAAUUGCAAAGAGGUGCCUUUUAAACCACAACAAGCACCACCUACAACACAAAAACAAUGCUUAUAUGGUUUUAAAGUUCACAAUGAGAUCUAAGAUAAAAAAGAAGCAAAAAAAUAAGAUUACGGUUAGAGUUGAGGCCACACGUUGGUAUGGCUUUGCCUUCAUCAAAAGAAAGUGAGAGAGAGGCUUGGAAAACCAAACCACUCUUAUACAAUUGAGUGGUGGCUUGUGGAAGGGCUGCCACAUCUCCACCCUUGAUCUCGAAGAUCCCUAAUGUAGAUCUAUGGCCUUCCUUCAUCUAAGAGCUAAUUUCGUGACUAAGGCUGAUGGCUCUUGUAAGUAGAAAAAAAACACUUUUUGAUAAAUCUAACUUAAUCAUUGUGUUUAAAAUAUCUUUUUAUGCUAAGAUCGACUACUCACAUGAUUGAAUUUUUAUGCUAAUAUUGACUACUCCUUUGCAACUUUUAUGAAAGUUUUUUACUUAUAAGGAUUUAGGCAAUCUUUAUAAAAUUCUUCAAAAAAUGAGAAUUUUAUUUCUCUACUUGCAUUUCAAAGAAAAAGAUGCUGAUCUUCUUUUCUUCACUCCACAUGGUGCAUUUGAUGCCUCCAUUGCAUUUGAAAGGCUUCCAUAAAUUAGAAGAAUCACUUUACUGCUUGGAUAUGUUGAAUUUAGAAAAAAUCUUCAAAUCCAUCAUAAUUAAACCUCAUUAGAUUUUCUUUUUUUUUUUUUUUUUUUUACACCAAGACUACUUUCUUUGUAAUUCAUCUACUACUAGCUAACUAAAAAAAUAUAGUCUUUAUAGUUUUUUCUUGUUAGACUCUAUCCUAAAUUGCAUGUCUGCUAAUAACAAUCUAAUUUCUAUUUUUUCCUAAAAUUCUAAUAUUAAUUCAUAAAAUUUAUGUUUUAAGCACAAUAAGUAUAUUUUUUAUACUAAAUAUCAAAGUGAGUCAAUUCAAUGGCUCACAUCUAAAGAUUUGAAUUCUAAUACACAAUAUAAACUCCCUUCCAACUACAAUAAACAUUCUAGAUAUUCAAAGCAGAGACUUAACAAAAUACCACAUCAAAUACAAUGGCCUCUCCACCUAAAGCAAUAGGUAUAUGGGAAGAAAAAAAAAACCUACAAUUCUAGUAGCUAGAUAUCCCUACUCUGAGGAGCAAUAAGUUAUAACUGAAAUAAGACUGGAUUCUUUAAGGUCUAAAACCUUACCAAUUUUAUAACAACAAAGAUCUCAAUAUAAAAUAAUUUUAAGCUUAUCAAAAUAAAACUGAAAAUAACUAAAUAGAAUAGAACAUGAAAGUCAGAACUAAGUAAAAGAGAACAAAAUUAAAUAGAAUCAAACAAAACGAAAUAAGAAAAAACAACCAAACUUUAUUAAGAGAAAGAGUUUGAAGCCAUACUUGAUCCAAUGCCCAAAUGGCCUCAGCUAGUCCUAUUUAUACUUCAUUCAAUUAUCUUAGAACUUUCUAGAAUAUCCCUAAUAGUAGGUCCUACCAAGAUAACUAUCCUUUUAGAAGAUUUUAGAGAUAGGCCCUACCAUGAUAACCAUCCUAAAUCUUUUUAGAAGGUUCCAUAGUGGAUCCCACAUGAAUCACCAUCUUAACAUCAAUUCUGGAAACUUUCCAAAAAUGACUCUAACUAUAUAUUUCUAUGUGCAAAUAAUACAAAUAUCCUAUCCAUACCCUAUUACAUCUAAUUCCCAUCUACUAAUGCAAAACGUCUUUAUUUCACUCUUGAUGGUAUUUCCAAAUGAUUUCGUAACAAUAAGUGAGGUUUUGUACAAGUUCUUCUAUUGCAUUGUAGAUGGGAUAACCUUUCUAGAUAACUUUGUAGUAAAAUUAUAGACAUCCAUUACUAUGGCAAAGAUAGCGAUGCUCCAAAAUACUAUCUAGUUCAUAUUCCUAUUGGUCAUCAAUUACAAUUAGUGGUGAUGGUGGUCAUUAGUGUCGGUCUAAAAAGCAUCUUGGUUCAACAUGAAAUUUUUUGAGGUGCAAAAUAUAAAAGAAGAGAUAAACCAAAAUAUGUAGUAGAACCUUGAUGCGAUAUACAAUAUAAAAAAUUUCUACAAAAAUGUGGAAAGGUCUAAGCCAUUGAGGUAUUUGCUUACGGUCUUAGGUUGAUGUAGUAAGUAGAACGUUGUCAUGUUGUAACUCGACUAUAUGAUGAAAGAUGAUAAUAUGGAUCUCAUUAUAGAAGAGCCAAGUUAAAAGAAAAAGUAAAAAAAUAUGGAUAAAAGAUAGGAAGGUAGUAAAAUUUUUAGUAGUAAUGCUAUUAUUUUUAGAAAAAAUAGCUUCUACUUACUUUGUAGGGUCAAAAAUAAGAAAAAAUAAGGUAGAUUAGAAAAAUAAAUGAUAUAGACAUCUUUAGGAGGAAGUUAAGAGUAAAUUCUAGUAACAAUUACUUAGAAAAACUAGAUGUUGUUACUCAGAGAAGGCUAGUUAUGAACCAGGGUCAAAAUCAGAUCCUGAGGCACAAAAUCGAGUCUUGACGACAACUCUGGGACUCUUUGGUAAAUUGGAGAGUGGGAUUUGAUAGUAGAUUGGAUAGGAUUUCUAUGAGCAUUGGUUUUGGGUAAUUUGGAUUUGUAUUAACUUUGUAAGAGCUUUGCAAAAUCAAGGUUUGUUUUGGAUGACUUGGAUUUUGUGAAAUAAAAUAGGAUUUAUAUUUUGGGUGAUUUCAAGAGUUUUGUAAUAGAUCUAUCAGUGAAAUUUUGUGGAUUAAUGGUUAUAGUUGUGUUCAAUAUAUAUUAUAAAUUUGAGCUCGAUCUAACGGUUGAAUUGAGGUUUAUUGAAGUUUAAGUGAGUCAAGGUCUCAGAAAGUAGAAUUUUAGGUCCAGUGAGGAUUUUCAAGAUUUCUUAUAAUUUAUUCAUUGAAUUGGAGUGAAAUUUGUAUAAAAAGAUAUUAGACUUGUUUUUCUAUGUGUAUGAGAAUUUUUAGAUCAAUCAAAUGGUGAAAAGGAGAGAUAUUGGCUCUGAGAGAUUGGCAUCAAGGUUGGAGAAGGAGGCCAACCAAUACCCAAGCACAUUUUUGAGGUUAUCGUCUAUUUGAUAAUUCCGAUUCUUUUCAAACUUUUUGUGCUUAUUUUCAACUUAGUUUUUGAGAAGAGUGCAAAAUUUGAAUUAAAAUCGAUGGUUCAUUCAUUACUUAUUAAAGUUUAAAUCUGUUGUAGAAAUUACUAGGGUUUGGUUGAGGUUUGGUUUAGGAUUUGUUUAGGAUUUGGUUAGGGUUUGGUUUAGGGUUUUAUUUAGGAUUUGGUUUAGGAUUUGGUUAGGAUUUGAUUUAGGAUUUAAGAUUUAGUUUAGGAUUCGGUUGAGGUUUGGUUUAGGAUUUGUUUAGGAUUUGAUUUAGGAUUUAGAAUUUGGUUAGGAUUUGGUUUAGGAUUUAGAGUUUGAUUGGAGUUUGUUUUAAGGUUUGUUUAGGUUUGGUUUAGGAUUUAGAAUUUAGUUAAGAUUUGAUUUAGGAUUUGAUUUAGGGUUUAGGAUAUAGGGUUUGAUUUAGGAUAUAAGGUUUGAUUUAGGGUUUUUUUAGGGUUUAAGAUUUAGUUAAUUUUUGGCCUAAAGUUUGAAUGAAGUAAGAUUUCCACUAGGAUUAAAUAAAGAUUAAAUUGAGAUAUAUUUGAGAUAUGUUUGCAAUCAUUCUAAUAUUUCUUUAAGAUUUCUUAUUAUUUCUUUAGAAUUCCUUUGAGGUUUCUUUGAAUUUGAUUAAAGCUUGUUUAGUAUUGUAAGUGUUCUAUUAGAAUUAAGAUUUUAUUGUUGCAAUUUCCAUUCUACCUUCUUUAGCUAGGUACCUAGAUCAUUCUCAAGUAAGAUUUCAUGUAUUACGACAACGUUAGUAUUGGAGAGUAAUACUUGCUCAGCUUCUCGAAAGAUCUUAUAUUAUUGGUGGUUAUCUGUAUAUUAUUCUUAUCAAUUAUAUGUAGUAAAGAGAUAAUGUCAUGCUUCUUGCAAGGCCAUUAUAAG